rnacentral:rRNA from 1 species
GACGAACGCUGGCGGCGUGCUUAACACAUGCAAGUCGAACGAUGAACCGGGUGCUUGCACUUGGGGAUUAGUGGCGAACGGGUGAGUAACACGUGAGUAACCUGCCCUGGACUCUGGGAUAACCCCGAGAAAUCGGAGCUAAUACCGGAUAGGACCUUCUCCCGCAUGGGGGUUGGUGGAAAGUUUUUCGGUUUGGGAUGGACUCGCGGCCUAUCAGCUUGUUGGUGAGGUAAUGGCUCACCAAGGCGUCGACGGGUAGCCGGCCUGAGAGGGGGCCCGGCCACACUGGGACUGGGACACGGCCCAGACUCCUGCGGGAGGCAGCAGUGGGGAAUAUUGCACAAUGGGCGCAAGCCUGAUGCAGCAACGCCGCGUGCGGGAUGACGGCCUUCGGGUUGUAAACCGCUUUUAGUAAGGAAGAAGGGGCUUCGGCCUUGACGGUACUUGCGGAAAAAGGACCGGCUAACUACGUGCCAGCCGCCGCAGUAAUAC